AUACGGAGGGUGCAAGCGUUGUUCGGAAUCACUGGGCGUAAAGGGCGCGCAGGCGGUUUUACAAGUCAGAUGUGAAAGCCCACGGCUUAACCGUGGAAGUGCAUUUGAAACUGUAAGACUUGAGUAUCAGAGGGGAAGGUGGAAUUCCCGGUGUAGAGGUGAAAUUCGUAGAUAUCGGGAGGAAUACCGGUGGCGAAGGCGACUUUCUGGCUGAAUACUGACGCUGAGGCGCGAAAGCGUGGGGAGCAAACAGGAUUAGAUACCCCAGUAGUCC
rnacentral:rRNA from 1 species